ACGGAAUUUUGUUUUUCCUUUAGCAUACAUUCGGGCUCUGUAAGCAUUUCGAAAUAGUGAUGUCGCGAGAUAAUGGAUGGCCAGAACUAGUUGGAAUGAACUGGGAGGAAGCUGCAGAUAAGAUUCGACAAGAAUUUCCAAACAUGAUGGCUGUCCCAGAGGGAUCCAUGGUUACCUUCGACUAUAAUGAAAACUGAGUCCGCUUGUUUAUCGAUGAAGAAAGCAAAGUUGUGACAACACCUAUUAUUGGAUAGCACACCUUGACAAUGUGUUUAUGACUUAGUUUUAUGUUUGGAAAUAAUUGUUCUCAACUAUAUGAUUUUUAGUGAAAUCAUUUUUAGAGUCAUGAAUCAGUUAUACAAUUGCCCACUGUACUACUACUGUAGAAAACGCUAAGACAGAUUGUACAACAUUUUUAAGAUCAUGAAGAAAUAGUUUGAUAACCACAUGCACUCCAUUGUCUCGAUAAGAUAUGGACAUGUUAAAAUCUAUGUAAAGGCAAGCUUUAGUUGUUAUUACUGAAAAAAGACACAAUAUAUAUUUCUUUCUUUCUGAAGAAGAUAAUGUUUUGCACAAGCACUUUUAUUGAUUAAUUUUGAGAUCUUUUUAUCACACUUUUAUGGCAUCAGUGUUAUUUCAUGGAUCAGAACGGUUAGUUGUGCAACAUAUGUUUAAGACACAUGUGGUUAGCGUGUGGCUAUGAUAUUAAUUAGUGAAAACAUCAUUUUGAAUGAUAAAAAAUCAUAUUGUAAUGAAAAAUCAACUUUUCUGAAAAAAAAAAUUCACUAUCAAAUAUAUAUAUAUUUGAUAGUGAUUUUUUUUCCAGAAAAGUUGAUUUUUCGUUAUAAUAUGAUUAUUUAUCAUUCAAAAUGAUGUUUUCACUAAUUGGUUUAAGGAAGGCUCCUGUUCACAUCUUUGUAAGAAACAUCACUAGAUUUUCAUGAAAUGUUUUUUUUACAUUUACUGUACUUGUAUGAAGUGAAUUGUUCUUGUUAUUUUGUAUUUUUACUUUUCUUUAUUAGCAUGUACCAGACAUAUCAGUUAGCAACCUUUUUAAUUUUUGGCUGUUCAAUUUUUGAAAUAAUUAUGAAAUUUGUGUUGUAUUAAUAUUAGAUUUACAUAAAUACAUGUAUUGAAAUCCAAACAUAUGCUUUUUGUUAUUAAUUAACAGUGCUAUGCAUGCGAUUGCAAGAUAAGAAAACACACUUUGUCCUUGCUUGCCAGCAAUCUUACAAUACCAAGGAUAGAAACUAGCUGUUUACUACUUUCGUUAACCUGUCAAAGUUUUAGCUGCAAACCAAGUGCAUAAAACAUGUAUCUGAUAAUUGCACUUUAAUAAUUGUAACAAAAAUUGUAACAAAAUAAAAUCAUACAACAGUG